UACGUAGGGCGCAAGCGUUGUCCGGAAUUAUUGGGCGUAAAGAGCUCGUAGGCGGCCUGUUGCGUCCGCUGUGAAAACCCGGGGCUUAACCCCGGGCUUGCAGUGGAUACGGGCAGGCUGGAGGCAGGCAGGGGAGAACGGAAUUCCCGGUGUAGCGGUGAAAUGCGCAGAUAUCCGGAGGAACACCGGUGGCGAAGGCGGCUUCCUGGACCGACACUGACGCUGAGGCGCGAAAGCUAGGGGAGCAAACGGG
rnacentral:rRNA from 1 species